GCACAGAGGUGAAACAAAUGUUGUAUUAUUGAGAAAUCAGAUUAUUUUGACAGGUGAGUGUUUCCAUGGUUUGUAAGAUUCCUUUAAUUGGAAUUAGAGCCCAGUUAGAUUAAAAAAAAACUCAUGUAACCACAUCAAUCAGACCAGACUGACUUGUUUAAGUUUUCAGUCAGAAUUUGAUGUCUGAUAAAUAAUUUGUCUUUCUGCUGAAGCUUGACUCAUGUGACACAUUGGGUCACAUGACAAGUUUCCUGGAGGGACGGAAAAAUAGUGGCAGCAAAACUGGUCUGGUCUCACAACUUUGACAGACUUUAAAAGAUUAAUGUUGAACGUCUCCCCAGUGAAUUUGUGGAUCUAUCGUAGUCAUCUUCAUAACAAAUCUGGAAAACAAUGUUUAAAAUAGUUUUGCACAAAAAAAGUCUACAUCUUACUGUAUCAACAUUAAUGUAAAUACAUGAAUUUCAGUCGGAAUGAGGCAACCAAUAAUGACUUAUUAUAACUCAUGAUACACCUCAACGUUAUUAAAUAGCAGACUUGAAUUUAAGCAUCAACUACACUGAUCUACAGUUUUUUUUUGAAAUUAUCUGCCUCUGAUUAAAUGUGCUAAAUCUUGCAUACUUUAAAGCUGCAGGAGACUUUUGCCAUCAAUUUUUCAUCACGUGUCAUGUCUCAGUCAUAGCCUAAGUAUCACAAAUCCAUAAGCCUUUCUGUGAUUUCUUCCCUCACAGUGAACAAUUUCAAAGUGUACUCCACCAUAAACAAUCCAUUUGCUUACAAACAGGGCUGGCAUUUUGGGAAGUUUGCUGCAACGUGCAUUGUGGGAAGCGGAGCUACAAGCAGCCGCAGUAGAAAGAGGCAAUGAAGCAGUUUCCAUGUUUGCUGCUGCUGUGACCAUAAUGCGCAUUGUGGCUGCAGCAUCUGAAACUGCUUCAUUGUCUCUUGCUACUGCUGCUGCUCAUAGAUCUGCUUCCCACAAUGCAUGUCGCAACAAAUUUCUGAAAAUGGCCGACUGACUUAGCCCUGUUUGUAAACAAAUGGAUUGUUUAUGGUGGAGUACACUUUGAAAUUGUUCACCGUGAGGGAAGAAAUUCAGGUGCGUCACGGAAAGGCUUACGGAUUUGCGAUACUUAGGCUACUACUGGGGUUUUACAGAUUUGAAGAAAAAUUGGUGACGAAAGUCUCCCGCCGCUUUAAGAUGAAUUUGAAAACAAAAGACUAAAGUGCUGUUAGCUGCUAUUUUCCAUGUUUGAUGAAGUGUUAUUACACAUAUCAGUUUAUGUACAUUUAUACAGUAGAUUUAUAAAUGUUGCAGUAGAAA